rnacentral:tRNA from 1 species
GGUGAUUUGUCCGAGUGGCUGAAGGAGCAGCCCUGGAAAGUUUGUAUCCGGCAACGUAUCGAAAGUUUAAAUCUCUCACUCACCGCCA